ACGUUCUUGUGUUAUUUGUUGAUUGUGUUUUCUUGUAAAAAUCAAUGAUUGUCAAAAAGAACGUAAAUUAAACUAAAACAACAACUCGUUAUUAUU